GGCUAUUCCCAUGGGGGAGUUUGUCUUGAAAAUAAACUAAGAGUGCUCAGCCCACUCAAUAGCCU
rnacentral:tRNA from 2 species